rnacentral:rRNA from 1 species
UACAGGGGGUGCAAACGUUGCUCGGAAUCAUUGGGCGUAAAGCGCACGUAGGCGGUUCGUUAUGUCGGAUGUGAAAGCCCUUGGCUUAACCGAGGAAGUGCAUCCGAAACUGGCGAGCUAGAGUACUAAAGAGGAUCGCGGAAUUCCCGGUGUAGAGGUGAAAUUCGUAGAUAUCGGGAGGAACACCGGUGGCGAAGGCGGCGAUCUGGGUAGAUACUGACGCCGAGGUGCGAAAGCGUGGGGAGCAAACAGG